AACGAACGCUGGCGGCAGGCUUAACACAUGCAAGUCGAACGGGUGUAGCAAUACAUCAGUGGCAGACGGGUGAGUAACACGUGGGAACCUUCCUAGGGGUACGGAACAACUCAGGGAAACUUGAGCUAAUACCGUAUACGUCCGUGAGGAGAAAGAUUUAUCGCCCUUAGACGGGCCCGCGUCGGAUUAGCUAGUUGGUGGGGUAACGGCCUACCAAGGCGACGAUCCGUAGCUGAUCUUAGAAGAUGAUCAGCCACACUGGGACUGAGACACGGCCCAGACUCCUACGGGAGGCAGCAGUGGGGAAUCUUGGACAAUGGGCGCAAGCCUGAUCCAGCCAUGCCGCGUGAGUGAAGAAGGUCUUCGGAUUGUAAAGCUCUUUUGCCAGGGACGAUAAUGACGGUACCUGGAGAAUAAGCCCCGGCAAACUUCGUGCCAGCCGCCGCGGUAA
rnacentral:rRNA from 1 species